rnacentral:sRNA from 1 species
UUAUUUUACACCAUAGCGGAUGGUUAUAGAAGAACCUCUAAAACUAUCUCCAUUGGUAGUAUCUCAUAAGAAUUUUUCAUAGUUAAAAAAAUAAAAAUAAUAAAAGUAAAAGAGAGAUUGUAGAAAGUUUCUCGCUUCAGAAACUUUGAGAUACUUUUUACGAUCCAUCAUGACAAUUUUCUUUUUACUAUUGGUUUAAUUUUUUAACAAAAAUAUUUUUUUAAUCAAAUAAUCAAAUUAUAAUAUAAUAUUAAUAU